CGGCCAGCCUCGCACUGGCUGCACAGCGGCUUCUCGGCCACCACAAAGAGAAGAUUGGUGUUGGUCAGUCUCUGCGCGUGGAACAGCCUGCGGGCAGCCCGGAAAGGCGGGGCGUUGAGUUUGCCCCGCCCUGACCCACCCCCAUCCUGCGGCCCCGCCCCCGGCCGCUCGGAGGCCCCGCCCCUUCCAUCCUCCCGAGCGUCUCGCCCCGCUCACAGGUUCCGCCCUUGGCCUCUGGUCCCGCCCCACUGCCAGCACCUGGAGCAGUUUCCGCAGUCGAUGAUGGCGUUGUAGGAGGCGUUUACCGAGCCGAAGUAGUACUGGGUCUGUUUCAUGACGCAGCUGCUCUCGCGCGUCUCGGGGCUCCCCUCGGCCUCCGCGGGGUCUGCGAGGGCCCAGAGCGCCUCAGCUCCGCCCACAGACCCUGGCAAGGUCUCCGGCCUCCCUCAGUCGUAGACCCCACCCUCCCCAUGGAGUCGUCUUAGCUCAGAUUGGGGACCCGGACUUGAGGAGGCGCCUCCAAAGCCCUACCUACCUGCUUGGAACCAGCUGUGGUAGAUGAGGCCGUAGAGAAGCUGCUGGAACAGGGACCUGCAGCGCACGGGGAGCCGAGUGCAGGUGGUCAGCAGAGGACGAUGCCAUGCCCUACUUCUCUUCUGAGCCCUCCCGGCCAGGGAGCACCUUCUCUACCCACCUCCCGCUCAGGACUCACCAGGCGGCAGCAGAGGUCCACCAGGCCAGGUUAAGGAAAUCUGCAACGGUGGGCUGCAGUGGAGAGAGGGGCGUGGACUGCCACUGCUGCCCCUCGCCCUAGGUCACCCCCAGCUUUAUCAAAUGUCAGAGCACCAGGAAUCCUCCAUCAUCAAUGAGGACACAGAGCUGCGGCGGUAGAAGCUGGCAUUGAAGGGCUCAGGGUUCUCUGUCCAGUCCUCAGCUGCCCUGGAGCACCCAAGAGGCAGACUGGUAGGUAAGGGGUGGCUUGUCGGGGACAGUGGUCUCCACAGAUGCAAGGAGGCCUC
rnacentral:lncRNA from 1 species